AGUGAACGCUGGCGGUAGGCCUAACACAUGCAAGUCGAACGGCAGCACAGUAAGAGCUUGCUCUUACGGGUGGCGAGUGGCGGACGGGUGAGGAAUACAUCGGAAUCUACUUUUUCGUGGGGGAUAACGUAGGGAAACUUACGCUAAUACCGCAUACGACCUACGGGUGAAAGCAGGGGAUCUUCGGACCUUGCGCGAUUGAAUUAGCCGAUGUCGGAUUAGCUAGUUGGCGGGGUAAAGGCCCACCAAGGCGACGAUCCGUAGCUGGUCUGAGAGGAUGAUCAGCCACACUGGGACUGAGACACGGUCCAGACUCCUACGGGAGGCAGCAGUGGGGAAUAUUGGACAAUGGGCGCAAGCAUGAUCCAGCAAUACCGCGUGGGUGAAGAAGGCCUUCGGGUUGUAAAGCCCUUUUGUUGGGAAAGAAAAGCAGCAGGUUAAUACCCCGCUGUUCUGACGGUACCCAAAGAAUAAGCACCGGCUAACUUCGUG
rnacentral:rRNA from 1 species